rfam:Pan troglodytes isolate Yerkes chimp pedigree #C0471 (Clint) chromosome 7, whole genome shotgun sequence.
GGCCUCAUGGUGCAACAGUAGUGUGUCUGACUCCAGAUCAGAAGGUUGUAUGUUCAAAUCACAUAGGGGUCA